GGGUUGUGAGGUUAAGCGACUAAGCGUACACGGUGGAUGCCCUGGCAGUCAGAGGCGAUGAAGGACGUGCUAAUCUGCGAUAAGCGCCGGUAAGGUGAUAUGAACCGUUAUAACCGGCGAUUUCCGAAUGGGGAAACCCAGUGUGACUCGUCACACUAUCAUUAACUGAAUCCAUAAGUUAAUGAGGCGAACCGGGGGAACUGAAACAUCUAAGUACCCCGAGGAAAAGAAAUCAACCGAGAUUCCCCCAGUAGCGGCGAGCGAACGGGGAGGAGCCCAGAGCCUGAAUCAGCAUGUGUGUUAGUGGAAGCGUCUGGAAAGGCGCGCGAUACAGGGUGACAGCCCCGUACACAAAAGCGCAUGUGCUGUGAGCUCGAAGAGUAGGGCGGGACACGUGGUAUCCUGUCUGAAUAUGGGGGGACCAUCCUCCAAGGCUAAAUACUCCUGACUGACCGAUAGUGAACCAGUACCGUGAGGGAAAGGCGAAAAGAACCCCGGCGAGGGGAGUGAAAAAGAACCUGAAACCGUGUACGUACAAGCAGUGGGAGCACAGGUUUACCUGUGUGACUGCGUACCUUUUGUAUAAUGGGUCAGCGACUUAUAUUCUGUAGCAAGGUUAACCGUAUAGGGGAGCCG
rnacentral:rRNA from 1 species